AUGUUUUUCUUGUAAAAAGAACUAUUCAUAAGAUCACUUUUACCAUAAGCACUCUCUUCGAAGUCAUCUUUGCUAGUAAUUACAGGGCUUUUUUCCAUUCUCAACUUCAAUAUUAGCAUACUAUGACAUUCAGUCCUACAGAAAUAAAAAGUAAUGCAAAGGCUCUCAAAUAGAAAAUCCUGAAAAUCAAAAACAGAGCAAUCUUUACAGAAUAUUCUGAUAAAAAAACAUCAGAUUCACAGACUCUUAGGAACUUUAAAUCCAAAAUGCCCAAGUUUAUAAAUGAGAAAAUUGCCACCUAUUAUGCCAAUUGCCUAGGGUGUGUGUGUGUGUGUGUGUGUGUGUGUGUGUGUGUGUGUGUAGAACCAUUUACUGCAACAAACCUUGCCUGCCUAUAGCAGGCAACAGUUCCUACCCUCAACCCAAGUUGUUCACAAUUCAGUAGGGAUGACUGCACAAUACGCUGACACACAGAGAGUGAUUGGCACUUUGAUAAAGUCACAAAGUGAGCCUCAAAACCCAGAGAGCAAGAAGACUUUCUGGAGGUAAAAGGGUAAGGGUCCCAGAGAUGAGUCGUGAAGGUGAAGGAGCUGCUUAGGAAAGCAAGGAAUGGGGAGGAAAAAGACUGGUUCCCUAGGGCUUCCUUGCCUUCACAUUAAUCUAUUAUCAAAAUAUUUUGGUUCUGAGAUCUGUUUUUGUUUUUUUUGUUUGUUUUUGAAUGGUUGUGUUUUGUCUGUAUCUCUAGGUCAGAACAUGGAGCUGAAAGGAGAGAAAGGAGAAAAAGGGAGUGAGGGUGUUUGGCUCCUUUAUCGAAGAUGAGAUGGCUGAGUGUGUCUGGCGUUGUUUCUGCAUCUUCUAAUCUGUUCCACUGGUCCUCAGGUCUGUUUCCUUGCCAGUACCAUGCUGUUUUUAUCACAGUAGCUUUGUAGUAGAGUUGCAGGUUGAGGAUUGUGAUACCCCCUGCCAUGUCUCUGUUACCUAGAAUUCCAGCCCUGUUUUCUUGCUUAUCAUUUUUUCAAUUCAUGUCUGUAUGUUUUAAUAUUCUUGAGACUAUAAUAGGGACAUAAUUUUGCUCUCAGUUUUUUCUCACAUUCCUAAAAUUAUUUAAAAGUGCAAAUGUAAUAAUUGCCUUCUGUUUUGCCAUAUACUACAUAUGGAAAAGAUUUCAAACUACAUGUACUAGCUAGUAAUUUUUAGUUGACACUGUCUUGAUGGUGUGCUAGUAAACUGCUAUCUGGGUUAGUAGGUGGAGGCCUGAUUUGUAAUAUUUGCCAAUUUCCGUAGUGUAAAUAUUCCUACUGUGGCUGAUUUAAACAGUUACCUCACAAAAAUUCCUAAAAAUGUAACAAACAUCUCUCAACAACUGGUAUGGGCCAGUUCCAACAAACUACUAACUUCAAAGAGUAAUUGAAAUAUAUGAUGAAUGUUUAAACUUUUUUAAUUUAUUAAGUAAAAGACAUAUUGCCAUUAAUCCCCCUCAAUAUUCCCCCUCACACGCACGCACACACACACACACACACACACACUAUCUCAUCUACUUUUGCCACUUUCUGAAGUGUUCAGUAAGUUCUCUUUCGUGUUUUUACAUAGUGAUAAAAACUACAGUAAAUGCUGCUGCCAAGCGCCAUCCAAGGGAAAGGCAGGCUUAUAAAAUCAUUACAGUGUCCUCAUCCACCUUAUUCACCAGAACAGGAAGCCUGCAACUUCUGGCUCUUCCCCAAAGUGAAAAUAACUAUGAAAGGUAAAUGUUUUAAAUCAAUACAGGGCAUGGAGGCAACCACAACAGUAUGACUAAAGACAUCAAAGAGGACUUCCAGCACUGCUUCAGAAAGUGGCAAGAAUGAUAAGGUGGGUUUGAAGUGAGGGAGAGUAUUUUGAGGGGAUUAGUGGCAAUGUAUCUUUUACUAUAAUAAUUUUUUUUUAAGUUUUUAACAUUCACUAUAUUUUCUGAUCACACAGCAUAUAUGUUAAAUAUUAUAAAAAUAUCAUGUUUCUUCCCUCAAGAAGCCAACUAAGGUAGCAAGGGCUCGUGAUAAACAAAGAAAUGCACUUUAAACACACGGUUACUUCUGUUUUAUUCCUGUAUAUUUCAUCUACCUGUGCUCCAAGGUGAUCAUAUUUACUUCAUUGACUGACCUGUCUAUAGUAAUGACCUCAGAAAAAGACUGGAAACCACUUGAAAUAUCCUCCAAUACUUUUCCUCACAUCGCUUACCCUGGUCUUUCAAAAUUACUUUCCCUAGGCUUUCACUUCCUGCUUGUCAUUGCCGUUCAAUCCUAAUGGUUUCCAGCUGUGUAACUUCCAUUCAGGUGUGGUUACAUAUGUUUGAACGUGGAAGAGAACAGUUAAUCUGAAAACUCUAAAACAAAACAAAACUAAUGUGGAACUUCAUGGGAAGGUGGGAAGAGCUCUAAAGUUUUCUGUUCACUGACUGCUAACUUACUCCAAAAAAAAGGUCUAAAAACUAUGACAUUAAAUUUAAAUGCAGAGCUCUUUUGAAAGUUUGAUCAUCUACAAUGGGAUUCAAAAGGGCACCAGCUUCAAAAAAUUGGGGGGGGUCAGGAUUUUGAGGCAGGGUCUUCCUUUGUAGUUCAGGGUGGCCCUGAACUCAUUAUGUAGCCCAGACUGGCCUCAAACUUGCAGCAAUCCUCCUGCCUCAGCCUCCCAAGUACUGGGGUUACUGGUGUGUGUCACCACAGCUGACUCUUCAAGAUAUUUUUAAUUUGAAUUUGCUACGUUCCCUACAUUAGCACAUUAUUAUAAUCCUUGAUCUUCUUAACUAAAUAGAAAGUUAAAAUUUCAGAUUUCAUCUGAAUUCAUCUUGCUUUCCUAUAAAACUUAAGGUAGCAUUUACAUGUGAUGAGACUUCUUAACAAGCAUUUGUUGUCUUAAUGAAGACUGAUAGGAGUACACAGUGCACAGCAGUAGAGAAAAGGCUAUUUGAGGGUUAGUUAUUGCAUAAAAAAAGCUGAAGAAUCCAAAGGUCCUAGAUUGAAAUCACAGGUCCCUUCUUAUUAGUUGUGUAAACUUGAAUUAUUUAAUCUUUUGAGCCUCUCUUUCCUCAUUUGAAUAUGUAGAUAACAAUACUUUCUUAGGGCCAGGGGUGUAGCUCAGUGGCGCCAUGCCUGCUUGGCAAGCACAAGGUCCUGAGUUCGAUCCCCAGUACUGCAAAAAAACAAAACACUAAUACUUACUUUCUUUCUUUCUUUUUUUUGGUACCAGGGAUCGAACUCUGGUCCUUGUACUUGCAAGGCAGGCAGUGGAAUCACUGAGCUAAAUCCCGGGCCCUACCAAUACUUUCUUUUGUAGGAUAGUUGUGAGAUAAUUGCAUUUUUCUCCUACUACAUAACAUACUACCCAAAACAAAACUUAAUGCCCUAAUACAGAUAUUCAGUUUGCUUUCAUUAUUGUAGGUCAAGAACUUGAGAAGAGCUCAGCUGGGCAAUUUGUUUCUGUUCACGCAGUAUCAUCUGACUGGUGCUGGAGGGUCCAAGGUAUACGGCCAAUGUAUACAUUUAUAUGUAUGAGGCCCUUGGUACUUCCUAGUCUCCUUCUUAAUCUCUCUUCUUGCUGUCCCUUUUACUCUAAGGGCCGAAGCUGACAAAUAUCCUGUAAAGGGCCACAGAGUGAAAGCCAUGUGAUCUUUGUCAUAACUAUUCGAUUUGUUAUUAUAGCAUGAAAGCAACCACAGACAAUAUAUGAACAAAUGAGUAUGACUGUGUUUCUUUAAAAUUUUAUUUAUGACAUUGAAAUUUAAAUUUCAUGUACUUUUCACAUAUCACAAAAUUUUAGUCUUUUAACCCCCCCCCAACCACUGUAAAUUUUAAAAACCAUUUUUAGCUCAUAGAGCAUACAAAACAGGUGGGUAAACCAGAUUUGACUUUCAGGCUAUUGUUUACUGACCCUACUUUAGGACAUUUCCAUCUAUCUCGGGCUUCUCUCAGCCUGGUGGCCCCAGAGUGGUCACACUUCUUAUACAAUAACUUGUUUCCAACAGCAAGUAUUCUCAGAGGCAGGAGGUAGAAGCAGCUAGGAUCUUAAGGCCUGGUCCUGAAACUGGCACAGCAGAAUUUUUGCCGUAUUUUCUUGGUCAAAAUAGUCACAGAGUCCCCUAGAUUGGAGGAGGUUGAGAAAUAGAUUUCUUAAUAGGAGAAUGACUAGGUCACACUGCAGACCAUCAUGUGGACUGAAGAUAGUCUUGAGGUAAUACAUACAAUUGACUAUGCCAGGAUCAAGAACAAUGUUUAUAAAGUAUCUGCCCCAAGGUAUGAGCUCAAUGAAUGAUGACUCACACUGCUAUGAGUAGCACCAUUACUAACUGUAAGAGGGGAGCAAACAGCACAGAAAUUUAUACUGAGCUUCUUAGAGGGGAUAAGUAGUGAAAUUAUGAAAAAAUAGGCUUUUAAGAAAUUCUAACUUGUAUUUUCCUCAUCUGGAGUAAUGGUCUCAUAAUAGUACCUAUCUUCCAGCA
rnacentral:lncRNA from 1 species